UGCAGGUAAGCCUUGAGUCUUGAAGUCUCCGUCCGUCCCUUUGAGCCUGGGUGAAGCUUUCCGCAGGAUGACAUGGCCUCUCCAGCAUCCCGGGCAUCCACUGGGUUUUCCAGGGAGCCGAUCAACCGUCCUUCACCCAGUGUUGCAUUGCGUCCGAGGUCUUGAAAAUCUUGUCUUAGUCCGGUCUUGGUUAUUAUAUCAAUCUCGCAUCUCUCGUGGCAUACACUCAACCGAUAACCCGUCUACUUAAGCAUAGCAUAUAUAUAACUUUGUCGUCCCGGGGCCAAGUAUCGGGGUGUUGGUGUUCCUACCACAUGAUACUACAACUAGGAUUAAAGUUUACAAGUACCUAGGCAGCAUGCAAAUUGGGCAAAGAAGGUGAUCUACUAUGCAUUGAAAACAUAGGUAAAAAUAACAUGAUCAAAGAUGACUUGCCUUGAUGAUAGUUGUCCUGCUCGAGCGUCUCUAAGUAACACGCUUCGCACUCCGGAUGAUCUACCGAUACAAACACAAUGCACACCAUAAGCAAUUCAAUCAUUCCACGAGAAAAAAAAAUAACAUCACAUGCAAAGAUUGGCAAACGACUACGCAAAAGAAUUUUAUUGCGCGUCGGUAGGACAGAAACUUGUUUAUGUUGAAAACACCAGUAAAAAUACUUGGAAAAUUCUGAAAAUUCUACUACAGUAAGGUUUUAUCACUAGAAAACAGUAGCAAAAAGAAUCAACUCAAUAUCAUUUUUCAAACUCCUGGAAUAGGCAAAACAGGGUUUAAACUAAAUCUGCUCUAACUUAUAUUUAAAAAUUCCUAACACAGAAAAAUUAUAUAUUUUUAAAAACUACAGGAAAUUUUGUGAGCUACUGGAAAACGAAUCAAUGUCAUUGGACGUAGGGAUAAAAAGUUGUGAUCAAAACAAGNNNNNNNNNNUGUUUAAACUAAAUCUGCUCUAACUUAUAUUUAAAAAUUCCAAACACAGAAAACUUAUAUAUUUUUAAAAACUACAGGAAAUUUGUGAGCUACUGGAAAAAGAAUCAAUGUCAUUGGACGUAGGGAUAAAAAGUUGUGAUCAAAACAAGAUUGAAAGUUUCUGUUUUCGAAAUCUGGACAGAAAUUACGAAACUGCUAGUGCUAAUGAGAGGCACGCGUGGCAAGCUUCUAAUGGCUGAGAUGGAGUGCAUGAAAUAGAGAGAGAGAGGUUGCUACCUGCUGCUGGAGGUGUUGCACCGGCAAGAAAGGAGAUGGCCGGCGAGGAAGGAGGGAGUAGCUACGGGCGGUGGGGCGUCGGGCGGCGGCGGUGAGAUUCCUUCUCCGCGGGGAAGAGGCAGCGGUGGAGAGAGAGUUCGGGGAGGGCUCCUCCUCCGCGGCGAGGCCGAGGUGCAGCAGCUUUCGGGCUGCUGCCGCUGCUCGCGGCGGCGGCUAGGGCGGCGGUGGGGUGAGGCGCCGGCGGCGGCUUGUGGAGGCGGCGGUGGAGAGACGGCGGCUAGGGUUGGGGAGAGGUGGAGGUGGGGGGGGUUUAUAUAGGCUUAGGGGAGGAGAGUAGAAAGGAAGGAGAGGGAGAACUUUGGGAAGGAGAUCAUGGGAGAGAAAAAUAGGAAAGAGAGGGAGGAGAAAAAAAGGAAGAGAGAAAUAAGGAAAAGGGAGAGAAAAUAGGAAGGAGGAGACGUGGGGAGGGAGAGAAGAAAAAAAAAAGAAAGAGGAGACGUGGGGAGGGGUUUGGGGCUGCAUGCAAGGCAUGCGUGCAUGCAUGGGGUGGCUGGGCUGUUUUGUUUUUUUUUUUUGAAAAAAAAACAAACAAACAGCAGCAACAAAAAGAAAUAAAAAAAAAACAAAACAAAACAGAAAAAAUAUAUUUUCCUAACUAACAAAAUACUAGGAAAAAAAGUACUAAUAUACAUAUAUGCGCUAGAAUACUUAGGAAAACAAAAUACAUAUACAACUAAUAUAUAUAUAUAAUACAUAUAGGAACCCUAGUUCCACCUAAUGCAAUUUUAAAAAAAAGUUUUAUGCACUAGGAUCACACAACGCGAUCGAAAAAAAAACUCGACCAAAAUAAUUCGGAGUUUGGAAAAAAAUUUGCAAAAACCAAAAAUGGUGACUUUAACUCACAGGGGAGAAGACAUAUUAUCUCCGCUCCGAUAAAUUGCCUGUAGUCACAUAACGAUAAAAUUUUUCAGAGGAACGCAAUGAUGCAUAAAAUGUGGGAUGCAAAUGAAUGAUCUAUUAACAUCUGAAUUUACGAAAAUUGGGAUGUUACAAACCUACCCACCUUAAGAUGAAUCUCGCCCUCGAGAUUCGGGUUGGCUAGAAAAUAGGUGCGGGUGGUCUCGACGAAGGUCCUCUUCUCGUUCCCAGGUGGCUUCUCCCUCGGUGUGGUGGCUCCACAACACCUUGCAGAACUUGAUGAUCUUGCUGCGGGUAACUCUGUUGGCGGUCUCGAGAAUUCGGACGGGUUUCUCCUCAUACGUCAGAUCGCUGUCAAGCUGUAUGGCCUCUAGGGGCACUGUAUCUCUCAACGGAACAUCGGCCAUCUCAGCGUGGCAUUUCUUCAACUGGGAAACAUGGAAGACAUCAUGAACUCCGGACAAUCCUUCCGGCAGUUCCAGUUUGUAUGCAACUUCGCCUCUACGUUCAAGAAUUUUGUAGGGGCCAAUGAAACGUGGUGCUAGUUUUCCUUUCACACCGAAUCUCUUGAUUCCUCAAAGUGGAGACACCCGAAGAUAUGCUCGAUCUCCCACUUCGUAUGUUACUUCCUUGCGUUUGCUGUCGGCAUAACUCUUCUGCCUGGACUGAGCUAUCUUGAGUCGGUCACGAAUAAGCUUGACCUUCUCUUCAGAAUCUCGGAUGAGGUCGGGACCAAAAAGUUGUCGGUCGCCAACUCCAUCCCACGUCAAUGGUGUUCUGCACCUCCUUCCGUAUAGAGCUUCGAAAUGGGCCAUCUUCAGACUGGUCUGGUAGCUGUUGUUGUAUGAGAACUCGGCAUACGGUAAAUUGUCAUUCCAACUAGACCCAUAGUCUAGUGCGCAAGCUCUCAACAUGUCUUCCAGAAUUUGAUUAACUCUCUCGGUCUGUCCAUCUGUCUGCGGGUGAAAUGCUGUGCUGAACUCCAAUCUUGUUCCCAAGGUUUCGUGCAGUUGGUGCCAAAAUUUUGAUGUGAACUGAGUCCCUCUAUCAGACACAAUGCUCUUUGGUACUCCGUGCAGACAUACGAUCCUCGUCAUAUAAAUCUUGGCCAGCUUGGCACUAGUGUAGGUAGUCUUCACCGGAAUGAAGUGAGCUACCUUGGUCAACCGAUCGACCACCACCCAAAUAGAAUCAUAGCCAGAACGGGUCCGAGGUAAUCCUGUGAUGAAGUCCAUACCAAGCUUUUCCCAUUUCCAUUCGGGUAUCGGCAGAGGUUGGAGCAAACCUGCUGGCUUCUGAUGCUCGGCUUUUACUCGCUGACAAACAUCGCAUAUAGCUACGUACUCGGCAAUGUCUUUCUUCAAUCCUGUCCACCAGAAACUUUCUUUCAGAUCCAGAUACAUCUUGGUGUUACCGGGGUGUAUCGAGUACGGGGAAUCAUGAGCCUCCUGAAGUAUCAACUUCCUGAGUUCGGGAUCAUUGGGCACAUAGAUGCGAUCCUCAAACCAUAAAGUUCCGUGUUCAUCCUCACGAAAACCUUUAGCUUUCCCGUCUUCCAUUUUCUGCUUAAUCUCAGCUAUCUCUUUGUCAGCUUUCUGUGCUUCACGGAUCUUUUCUGUCAAAGUAGACUGAAUUUCCAAAGUGGCAACAAAUCCUCUUGGAACUAUCUCCAAUUUGAGCUCUCGGAGAUCAUCGACUAGCUCCUGGGGUAAUACUCCCGCUGUGAGCGUGUUCACAUAACUCUUGCGGCUCAACGCAUCGGCUACAACAUUUGCCUUGCCUGGGUGAUAAUGCAAUCUCAUGUCAUAGUCCUUGAUCAACUCUAGCCAUCGCCUUUGUCUGAGGUUCAACUCCUUCUGCGUGAAGAUAUAUUUCAGGCUCUUGUGAUCAGUGUAAACAUCACAACUAUUUCCGAUCAGGAAAUGUCUCCAGGUCUUGAGAGCGUGCACUAUGGCUGCUAGUUCCAAGUCAUGUGUGGCAUAAUUCAACUCAUGAGGUCUGAGCUGUCUGGAUGCAUAGGCUACAACUUUGCCUUCUUGCAUUAGCACUCCUCCAAGUCCUUGACGAGAAGCGUCACAAUAAACCUGGAAAUCCUUCUGAAUGUUCGGCAAUAUCAGCACUGGGGCUGUCACAAGACGUUUCUUCAGCUCUUGAAAACUGGUUUCACAAUCCUCAGUCCAAACAUACUUGGAUUCCUUCUUCAAUAACUCUGUCAUGGGCUUGGCAAUCUUUGAGAAAUUCUCAAUGAACCUCCGGUAAUAUCCGGCAAGUCCGAGGAAACUGCGGAUCUCCUUGACUGAAGUGGGUGCUACCCAUUCGGUGACUGCUGCGACCUUGGCAGGGUCCACUGCUAUUCCUUCUCCUGAGAUGACGUGUCCGAGAAAUCCGACUUCCUUCAACCAAAACUCACAUUUGCUGAACUUUGCAUAUAGCUUAUGCUCUCGAAGCUCCUCCAGAACUAGACGCAGAUGUUCCUUGUGUUCCUCUUCGUUCUUGGAGAAUAUCAGUAUGUCAUCGAUGAACACCACGACAAACUUGUCCAAGUACUCCAUAAAUACCUUGUUCAUCAGAUGCAUAAAAUAUGCCGGAGCAUUAGUCAGUCCAAAUGACAUGACCGUGUACUCAUACAAGCCGUACCGAGUGGUAAAGGCUGUCUUGGGUAUGUCCUGUUCACGAAUCUUCAACUGAUGAUACCCGGAUCGAAGAUCGAUCUUUGAGAAUAUGCGAGCUCCAACUAACUGAUCAAACAGAUCGUUGAUCAUCGGCAAGGGGUACUUGUUCUUGAUGGUCACAUCGUUCAAUGCACGAUAAUCGACAACCAUUCUUAAGGACUUGUCCUUCUUUUCAACUAAGAGCACUGGGGCUCCCCAAGGUGAAGAACUUGGGCGAAUAUACCCUUUGUCCAACAACUCCUUAAUUUGCUUCUUGAUUUCUAUCAAGUCAUUUGCGGGCAUCCGAUAAGGUCUCUUGGAUAUCGGUGCUGUUCCGGGUAAUAGCUCAAUCAAGAACUCAAUCUCUCUAUCGGGUGGCAUGCCCGGCAAUUCCUCCGGAAAUACAUCUGGAUACUCCUGUACGAUUGGUACCUCCUCCUGGACUACUCCCGUGAGAGAGUUUACUCGCUUACUCCGUGUCGGGCGCUGAGACACGUACUUAAUACGCUUCUGCUCGGGGGUGGUGAGCAAAAUAGACUUAAGGGCACAAUCGAUAUUACCUUCAUACUUGGCCAUCCAAUCCAUGCCUAGGAUUACAUCCAAUCCCUGGGAUUCUAAUACGAUGAGGUCGGUGGGGAAAUUAUGGUUCCCGAUGUUGAGACUCAAAGCAUGGCAUCCUAUCCCGGCUGUCAUCAUGCCUCCUGGGGAACUGACCUUAAUAGGUUGGCUGAGGGUUCUAGUUGGCAAACUAUACUUUUCCACAACUACCCUUGAUAUGAAUGAAUGCGUUGCACCAGAAUCAAAAAGUACCAAUACUGGAUGUGAAUUUAGCAAAAACUUACCAACCACAGUAUCGGGGUGAUCGUAGACCUCUUCCACAUCAAUGUGGUUCACCUGAGCUCGAGGAAAAGGAUUGGGCUUCUUUGCUGCAGAGUUGCCGUUGCCGUUGCCGUUGCCGUUUCCAUUUCCCUGCUUGUUCUGGGGACAAUCAGUGGCAUAGUGUCCCUUCUUCUGACACUUGAAGCAAGUGAUGUGAGUCAGAUCCUUCUGAGCUGGAGUUGAAUUCUGCUGAGUGCCAGUACCGCCAUUCUUGAAGUUGUUGUUGUUGCGGUGAUUCCCAUUUCCUCCAUGGUUGUGGCCUCCAUGGUUGUGCACAGGGUGGUUAUGCUGAACAUGUCCACCAAACUUACCGGAUCCAGUCCCGGUAUUCCCUGAGUAGGGGGUGUAGCGAGGCUUCUGCUGAGUGCCGGAGUUGAACUUUCCAACCCCAUACUUUCGCUUGCGGUUCUCCAUCUGCUGAUGUUUCCCCUCCAAGAUGAGGGCCUUAUCAACCAGCUCCUGGUAGUUGUUGAAGGUGGCUACCAUCAACUGAAUGCUCAGCUCAUCAUUCAGUCCUUCCAAGAACUUUUCCUGCUUGGCCGCAUCAUCGGCCACAUCUCCGGGUGCAUAACGGGCGAGCAUGCUGAAAUCAUCAACGUACUGGGCCACAGUGCGACUCCCCUGGCGUAAGUUGCGUAACUCACGCUUCUUCAGACUCAUUGCACCAGCUGAGACAUGCGCGGUGCGGAAGGCUUGCUUGAAUUGCUCCCAAGUGACUCCAGCAAUGGGAUAAGUGGUGGUGUAGUUCUCCCACCAAGCAGCUGCAGGGCCUUCAAGUUGAUGCGCGGCAAAACGCGCCUUCUCAGCUUCAGAACAACCAGCGGUGACGAGCUCACGCUCCAUCUUGCGAAGCCAAUCAUCUGCCAUAAUGGGCUCAAUGCUGCUGGAGAAAGUUGGAGGGUUCAACCUCAGAAAACGGGUAAGGUUGUCGGCCUGGGGUGGAUGAUGGUUGUUGUUGUUCUGGUUCUGGAUGAUCAGUUGCAUCAGGGUGUUUUGUUGCUCGAUCAACUGGGUGAGUUCCGGCGGAAAGUUGGAGGUAGGGGCGCGUCUUGGAGGCAUCUGAUGUUUGUAGAGGGGUGAGAUUAGCAUAGAACAAUGGUCUAGAGGAAUUACACUACCCAUAUGAAUGCAACACACAAAUAUCACACCACACAUUUUAUUCAAACAUCACAAAGGUUCACACGAGGAUACAAAAUCGAUAAUCCUAAACAUCGGCCUAAAACGUAAAACGAUAAAGUAAAAAUUGGUGGUCUAGUCUAAGUGUCCUCCUCAAAAUAGCAUAGUGUCGGGUCCUUCGGUGGAGCUUUCUUCAUAGUCCUCGUCGUUGCUGAUCACGGGGGCUACGUCUCCUUCGGGAUGAAGGUUCUCGCCCAUGUCCAAUUCCUCCUCCAGGUAUGCAACUCGAGUCUUCAGCUUCUCGAUCCGCUCCAGAAAGUCCUUCACUUCCAGCUCAUGCUCAUAGUGGGCUUCCUGGGCUGCAUCUUCAAGCUCAAGCUCGCGGAGUGACAGUUGCUUGAUCUUCUUGGCGUCCUUGAUCGCGUGAUACUCUAGAGUUACGCUGUGCUUCUCCAAGGUCUGGGCAUAAGAUAAGAGAGCGUCGUUGGUCUUGCUUGAGAUGAUGUCUCCGUCUUCAUUUCUCCAGGAUACAACGAAUAGGUCUGGAGAAAUAGGGCAGCCUUUGUAUUUAUCCUUGAUACGUCCGAGUGCACAAUGGAUCGCCAUGUCCCUUCCGAGAAUCCAGUUGGGUGCGAUGAACUUGAAAUCCAUCGGCUCAGUGCGCGGCUCGAAUGUCCUUCCGGGAAUAUGCACCUCGAUCCUGUAGCGUGAAUCCUCCGGGUAAGAUGAAGUUGGCUUCCCUGUGAUAGUCGGCACAGCAAUCCUCAAGUCUUUGGUGAUCUGCACCAGCUCUUUUCCGAACGGCAUAGUGGUGUCGGGCUGGCAAAACUCCGUGAACAUAACAGGGAUGAAGGUGGCCAUCUAAACAUUGGAAAAUCGGAGAGAAGUCAGAAAUGAUCAGAAGAGGAAAUAGAAGAUUUUAGAGAAAAUAGUUUUCUUCCUAAGGCUUUUCCAUUCCUAGAGGUUACGUCCUAAGGUCAGCGUGUGCUCUGAUACCAUUUCUGUAGCGACCCGACUCAACGAGUCAAGCCUCUGGUGUUUCUGUACCAUNNNNNNNNNNUCAACCACAACAACAACAAGAACAACAAUAAGAACAUUAACAACAACAACAAGAACAACAAUAAGAACAUUAACAACAACAACAACAACAGCAACAACAACAACAACAACAACCACAACAACAACAAGAACAACAACAAGAACAACAACAACAACCACAACAGCAACAACAACAACAAUGACGACGACAGCGACAAUGAAGACGAUGACGACGAUAAUGACCACGAUGAUGACGAUGGCGACGAUGAUGACGAUGACGAUGACAACGACGACAACAAAAACAACAACAACAACAACAACAACAACAACAAUAACAACAACAACAACAACAACAAUAAAAAUAACAACAAAAACAACAACGACGACGACGUCGAUGACGACAACAACAACAACAACAUAAGCAACAGCAGCAUCCACCGCAACAACAACAACAACGACGAUGACAAAAACGGCAAUGACUACGAUGAUGACGACGACAACAACGAUAACAACGACAAUGACGAGAACGACGACAACAACGACAACAACAAAAACAACGACAACAUCAACAACAACCACAACAAAAACGAGAGCAACAACAACAACAACAACAACAAAAACAAGAGCAACAACAACAACGACAACAACGGCAACAACGACAUCAACGACAACAAGAAGAACACCAAAAACAACAACUCGAAAAACAAGAACUACAACAAGAACAACAAGAUGUAGCGACCCGACUCAACGAGUCAAGCCUCUGGUGUUUCUGUACCAUCCCAAGAUCAUGCUGGUACACACACAGUACAUAAUGUAUAUAUUCGAGAGUGCAAUCACACAGCUUUAUUAAUCGAAAUCUCAUAAAGAGUACUUUAUUACAAUAAAGGAGUUGAAUAAAGUGGCUGAAAGCCAUCUCAUGAGAUUAUCUAACGAAGACUAAGCGGAAGCAUCAGGUAGACGAGUCCAUCCGACUCCAAGGGCAUGUCGCUGAGCGUAGAACCGUAGCCUCACUCCUAGUCGGAAAAGUACUCUGCAACAUGAUACGUUGCAGCCGUGUAGGUCAGCAUAUUGAAUAUGCCGACAAAUCAUCAGAGAGAGGGGUAAAAAUAAUGAUCAACUAUCUCUACAUGCAUAUUUGGCUGGUGGAGCUAAGUUUUGCAAAAAGCCAGUUUUAUCCUACAACAAAAGGGGUCGGAAGCAAAAUGUUACUACAUAGUUUGUUGUUAACGAGAUGGUUCCGCCAACCAGUUCUCGUACCCGAAUAGUAGUUAACACCCACAUAAUUAUUAAGUUGUGUCGAGAGUUCAGGGGAAAUUCAAUGUCUUCGGCUCAAGUUGUCCAUGACCGUGGACACGGCUAAUCGAUUAGGUUUGAAUACUCUGCAGAGUUUUGCACACGUUCCCCACAAGAUUUGAUCGCCUCCGNNNNNNNNNNNNNNNNNNNNNNNNNNNNNNNNNNNNNNNNNNNNNNNNNNNNNNNNNNNNNNNNNNNNNNNNNNNNNNNNNNNNNNNNNNNNNNNNNNNNACUCCACCUACUAAAACAAGGUGCACCAAUACAUGUCCAUAUGUGUGAGUGUGAACCCUUCCUUGUGAGUGUGUGUAUGUUCAUAAGGUAGGUGUUGAGCUAGUGGAAUCACAUGUGGUGAUGCCUAUUCAUCUCUAUGUGAAACUAUGUAGUUUUCUUUCCUAGUUUGAGCUCACUUAUUCCUAGCAAGUGCAUAUGUUUUAUAUAGGUUUUUGGGGUAGAAACAUCUCAGGAAUCCAUUGGUGAAAUAAUUUUUUCCAUUGGAUCAUUUUCUGGAGAUGACAUAUUUACAUUUUCUUCUAUGUUUGGAGCUUGGUUCCAUGAGUUGUGAUGUGCUCUUGUAUAUAUUUCUUGGUUGUGGUAGUAGAGGGUGACCCCCUCUACCACAUGAAUGUUUCAAUUCAUGAUUUGGAACCCAUGUGCGCAAGUUGUGCCCAUCCAAAGUAGGCUUGGGAUUGAAAUUUUCCAGAUUAGUGAAAACCUGAGAUUUUCACUAAGUUUGAGAAUCUGUUUAUAUUUUCUUCCCCUGUUGAUGAGGUUGUGCUGGUCAUUGUGUUGUGAUCUAGCCCUAGCUUUCAAAUAGAAAGUUGGAACUCAUAUGUUUGUCUACCUCCCUGUAAAAUUUCAUCUCAAUUGGAGCCCUGUAUGUAGUGUUUUGGCUGCUGUCAAAAAGCUUCCGAGAAAAGACAGGAAGUUAGAUGCAGGAAUUUUCCCUAAGUCCCUGUAAUGUGAUGGUUUUGGGAAAGUUUGCAGCCUUGUAUCUUCCUGUGUUUAAUUCCUUUUUGUGUAAUUCUUGCUUGUUCUGGUAGUAUUCUUGGCUAGCUACAGCCACAUAUAUUAUUUGUCAUAGUUGGGUGGCAGUAGGUGCUAUGCAUGUAGCUCACAAAGUGCUAUGAUGCAGUUUAUGGCAGAUUGUUUAGUUUUGUCAUUUUGAUGUUUGUGAGCGCUUAGUUGAUGUUGUGGUGNNNNNNNNNNACACCCCAUCCAUGGUGGUUUGCUAUAUGUCUUGGCAACCUGGGAAUACCAGAUUUGUGCCAUUUGAGUGUGUGGUGUUGAUUUUGACACAUAGGGCUUCAUAAAUUGUUUCGUUGAUUCCCGUUGAUCCGUAGCUCCGAUUGUAAUGUUCUUUAUACGGUUUUGCCUCAUUUUCACGAGACGCAUCUGAUCAUGUCAUUCUCAUGCAUGUAAAAAUAGGUUAGCAUGCAGUUCUGUCCAGGAACUUGUUUUAGCUUCUUAAGCUUGUGUUAGUGAUAGAAAUAGUGAUGCAUGCUCAUUUUCAUCUCAUGCAUCAUGUGCUUGUUGCAUAUUGAUGUGCUGUUGUUCAUUCGAUGUUAUUCUUAUGUUGGGUAGCACCGGGAUCGGAAAACGAAUACGUGGAGUCAGGAGAGAACGUGCAGGACGAUCAAGAACCAUUCCAAGCUGAGGAUAUCACACGCAAGAUGAUAUGGCCUUGAUUCCAUCUCUAGACUUGUUAUGCUAGUUUGCGUUUCCAUUGUCAUAUGCUCGCUUCCUACCACUGAAUUAAAUUGCCUCCUGAUAUGCCAUGAAACCAAACACUGAUCCCUUCCUAGCAAACUUGAAUGGCUAGGUAGGCUUUGCUCAGCUAAUAAUGUUAGCGUUGCUAGAUGCAGGUGUUUUGCCUCAUGUGAUAACAUAAGCUUGAUAUCAUUAUCGAAAUUCUGUUUUUUAAUUAAUGCACCUAUAUAAUUGGUAAAUGACGGAAGGCCUAGCCUUUUGCCGGGUGCUUUGUUCCGUUAUUGCCGCCUUAGUUACCGGCUACCGGUGUUUGAUUCCAUAUCGAUCGCUCCUAACACGUUCGGGGUUGUUAUGGGGACCCCCUCGAUAAAUCGCGUAGCGUUAAGACAUGUCCGGCAGGACCCAACAUUAGUUUUAAUUUGCUAAUCACUUAAUAAUAAUCUGCAUAGGGAAUAGCUACCCCGAGGAAUAUUCUAUUCUUAAAUAGCUAGAACCCACUACCUAAUUUUCCUCUCCAUGCAACAAUGCCACAUCAUCAAGGCAUCUAUGUAGUUUUUAUUCUUCUAUUCUUAAAUAGCUAGAACCCACUAUCUAGUUUUCCUCUCCAUGCAACAACGCCACAUCAUCAAGUCAUGCAUGUAGUUAUAAGUUAUUUUUUCAUGCAAAACAUAUGUUCACGCAUGAAUUUACUUUCCUCUCCAUGCAACAAUGUCACAUCAACAAGUCAUGCAUGUAGUUUAUAUUCUUUUAUUCUUAAAUAGCAAGAACCCACUAUCCAGUUUUCCUCUCCAUGCAAGAACACCACAUCAUCAAUUCAUGCAUGUAGCUAUAAGUUAUUUUUUAAUUAAUAUCUUGAUGCAUAAAUUUUUUCUAGGUAAUUAAGGAAGACAUUUUUAUAAUCAUUUUUUGCAUUACCAUUAGUUUUCUAACAUUUAUCCAUAUAUUUUUUAACAAGCUUCCCGUAGCAACGGCGGGGCAUCGUCUAGUUUAAUCAACAACCCGGGCCAGUGCUCCUCAUGAGUGUUGGUCCAACCACCUAGUAGUCGGCAAGACCACCCCAAGGAAACUUGAGGUUUGGUCCUUGUCCACUUUGCAUAGACGGUGUUGUCCUGAGGCUGAGAUACGCGGCUCUUAUUGGGGUCGUCGACACACCGGGAGGUCCUGCUAGUCUUGUCUUACCUUAGCGAUAUAUCUUGCGUAUAGGAAUCCUAGUGAAGCUUUGGUUUUCCCCAGAGUUGAGGUUUUCCUCUAAGGAACCCGACGAAAUCAUGAGAUUCGUGAUAGAGGAUUACUUUGCGGCCUGUGUACGUUUGAUAUGGACUAGUUGGAGCACCCUUGCAGGGUUUAAUCUUUCGGAAAGUCGUGCCCGCGGUUAUGUGGCAACUUGGAAUAUUUUGUUAACAUCCGGUAUUAGAUAACUUAAACAAAAGCUAAUAAAAUUGCCAACUUUCUUCGUAACCGUGACUGUCCCCUCGAAGAUCUCUCUUCGAUCGGGAACACGGUGGGGUUAUGAAUGACGUNNNNNNNNNNCGAUCGCUAGUAUAGUCCACCUUCUUACACGUUCUACGUAAGUUAGCAACUAAAUCAAGCUUAGGAUGCUGCAACCUUAAACACUUCACCUUAUCCUACCUAAUAACUUGACUAGUUCUGGCACCAAGGUCUUAGAUUGCUGAGUCCCCAUGGCUCACGGAUUCCUCCACAAUACCAACAGGUUCAGGUACCCUAGAGACAGAUGAUCCCGACGACACGCAGCUGCCGUGGCAGUACGAUGAGGAGACCGACCGCCCGUACGUGAACUAUCCAGAAGAUUGAGGCAUGGUCGUGAUCGUGGGCCUGCAGGCAGGGUAGCAUAGCCUUUUCUCUGUUUUGUAGUCCGUAGAGGAACUACUUUGGUUGUAUGCGUGUUGUACUCUGAUAUAUUUAUGAGAAGUCAAUUGAACCCAUGAUUGUCUAUCUUUUAUUAUUAUGUAUGUGCUGUGUUACCUGUUUGCCAGACACUUAGUUGCGCUCCUUUCCAAUUCGGGGCCUCGAUCCCCAGAUCAGAAAGGACCGCAUCUCGGUCGUUACAAGUUGGUAUCAGAGCCUUACGACCAUAGGACCGUUUGUGUGAUCGUACUUGGCCGAGCCGAGUCUAGAAAAUGUUUUGAGUCUUAGUUAUAUCGGAGAGUAGGAUUCUUUUUACUCCUCUUCUAUGCUCUAGUGAGGUUCCCGGCUUAUGAAAUAUUUAACUCUACUCUUUUCUCGCUCAAAUUUUUCUUUGGGAUCACGUGGGUAUUUGUGAAAUCUAUAUGAUUUCGAUGUGACGGAGUCCUGUCCUGGUGCCUCCUAUCUGCUUUGAGUUUCAGGGGAGUUGAGCUCUGGUGGAUUCUUGCGCACAUUACCAUCAUUCAGAUUUCUGAGUAUCUAAGAAUGAAGGAUGUUCGUUAUUGCUUCAAUACUGGUAGUGGCGAGAUAACCCCGAUGUCCCCACUACUGCUGCAGAUUGUUCGGGGGUUCUACUACACUUGGUAUCGUUGUGAUCACGAGGAUCUGUUGUAGAUGAAGGUCCGAGAUGCUGGUUGCGUGUUGAAGGAUGUGAUACAGUUGACGGGUUAGUUUAGGAGUUGUGUGAAAUACUCCUUGUAUCCGUGUACCAGAUUGCGUGACUCGUUAUUUCGGGAAUUCAUAGGUGGGAUAUCAAGUAGUUUCUUAUAGGACAAUCUUCCUAUAGACGCAUGAUUGAGGUUGGGGAAAUCUCGAUCAUAUGUUUGUUCCGAGCAAUUCUAGCUCACACUUGUUUGGAGUGGUCCUUAUCGGAAUUUUGUCGUCCGUCACUUUGAGGAUGCAUUAUUGCUAUGUUGUUCGAGUGCAAUUGCUAAAUUCUAUUCAGAUAUUCUAUCUUUUGAUUUAGCAAUAUCUUCAAUUAUUCUGUGGACUAAUAUGUUGUCCGUCUUUAGGAUGGCUCCACCGACUCGUCAGAACCCAGGGCGUGAGGAUAUGCCGCCUCCACCUCCUUCUCCGGAGAACCCUCCGCCGCCGCCGCCUCCUCUUGCAAAGGCCUGGCAAGCGGUGAUGGCAGCUACUAAUGCAAACACCCAGAUGCUGAUUCAGUUGAUACAAGAGAGAGCCAACAAACAGCCAGGAAAUUUUCAACAUGGUGGAAAUCAGUCUGCGAGUCUGAGUCAGUUCCUGUCAAACCAGCCAAAGACGUUCACUUCAUGCGACUAGCCAUUUGAUGCAGAAGAUUGGAUAGGUGAUAUGAACAAACAUUUCGAGUGUAGCAAUGUGCGUCCGGAGGAUUAUGUUAAGUUUGCAACGUUUCAGCUGAAGGGGCAGGCUUCUAUAUGGUGGCAGCAGCUGAAGGACUCCAGAGGCGCCAGGGUGAUUUCGUGGGAUGACUUCUGUCGUGACUUCAGGUCCCACUACAUCCCUUCCAGUUUUGUGGAGGAGAUGCGUGAGAAGUUCAGGCGUUUGAAGCAGGGCGGCAAUUCCGUGUAGAAGUACAAUGUUCAGUUCCACGAGCUGGCCCGUUACGCACUGCAAGAUAUCCCAGAUCAAAAGAGCAAGAUUUAUCAGUUCAGGGGUGGCUUGAUAGAAGACUUGGAGUUAGCUCUUGCCUUGCACGAUCCUGAGGAGUUCGACAAGUUCUACAACCUAGCUCUCAGAGUAGAGGCACCCUUGCUCAGGGUGGAAAAUUCUAAGAAGGGCUUCAGAGAUUCCAGCUCUUCCUCGAAUCAGGUGGUUCAGAAGCAACGGAACUUUUGGGUUUCUCCUCCUCCUCCUCGGCACUCGCAGCAACUUAAGCACUCAGGUGGUCGUGGUUCUUCCCACCCACCCAACCCUGUCUUCCAGCAGAGAUACCAGCAUCAGAAGCAAGGGCCUCCUCAGACUCAGUACCGGCAGCCAUCACAUGUCACUUGUCACAAGUGUGGGCAGAAGGGUCACUAUGCCAACAAAUGUACUUCUCAGCUCCGACUGCCGCCUCCUCCUCCAGGCAAACCUCCAAGCAACGCUCUUGUCAAGUUCAACCCCAGAUCAGCUCGAGUCAACAUGGUGAACGCAGCUGAAGCAGACAACUCCUCUGAUGUGAUCAUGGGUAACCUCCUCGUCAAUGAUAUUCCUGCUAAACUGUUAUUUGAUUCUGGUGCAUCGCAUUCGUUUAUCUCAAGGCCAUUCUCAUUUAAGCAUGGGUUCCCUACUCGUGAUUUGCGUAAGCCUCUUUCAAUUGUGUCUCCUGGCAAGAUCAUGAAUUCUCACAUGAUGGUUCCAGACGUUUCUGUCAAGAUGGGCGCUUAUUCUUUUCUGGUAUCUCCUAUUGCCUUGGGCAAUUCCAACAUCGACUUGAUUCUUGGUAUGGACUGCCUGGCCACGAACAAGGCGUCAAUUGAUUGUGAAGCCAAAGAAAUGAAGCUUACCCACUCUUCGGAGGACGUGAUUAUAUUUGCGGCGCUUGAUGAUACAAUCCGUCUGUUCUCUUUGAAUGAAAAGGGUGAGAUCAAUCCUAUUAAGCAAGUUCCAGUGGUCUACGAAUAUGAAGAUCUGUUUCCUGAAGAGCUAUCAGGCAUGCCUCCGCCCCGUGAAGUUGAGUUUUUCAUUGAGCUUGAGCCAGGCACAGAGCCAGUGUGCAAACGGUCAUACAAGCUGGGUACAGAAGAAUUGAAGGAACUUAAGAGGCAACUCGAUGAGCAGGAGCGCUUGGGUUUGAUCAAACCGAGCUCAUCUCCAUGGGGCUGUGUUGUUCUGUUUGUCAAGAAGAAGGAUGGCAUGGACCGACUGUGUGUCGAUUACCGUCCAUUGACUAACAAGACAAUCAGGAACAAAUAUCCAUUUCCAAACAUAAGUGAGUUGUUCGGACAGUUGAAAGGUGCUAAGGUCUUCUCCAAGCUUGAUCUCAGAAUGGGCUAUCAACAAAUUCGCAUUCGCGAGGAAGAUAUUCCGAAGAUGGCCUUCAGGACUAGUUUUGGCUUGUAUGAGUAUACGGUCAUGUCUUUUGGUCUGGCAAAUGCUCCUCCGACAUUUUGUCGAUUGAUGAACUAUAUUUUCUCUCCGUACAAGAAUGAAUUUGUCUUGCUCUAUCUCAACGACAUUCUGGUCUUUUCUGAAACUGAGGAAGAACAUGAAGAACAUCUCAGAUUGGUGCUAGAUAAGCUGAGAGUGUACAAGCUGUAUGCCAAGUUUUCCAAGUGCGAGUUCUGGCUAAAAGAAGUGGUGUAUCUUGCGCACAUUAUCUCUGCCGAGGGCACUAAAGUUGAUCCUUCCAAGGUUUAGGCCAUUGUUGAAUGGGAGCCUCCGCAGAAUGUGAAGCAGCUUCGAAGCUUUCUCGGGCUUGUUGGAUAUUGCAGAAGGUUCGUUGAGAGCUUCUCCAAGAUCGCCAAGCCGCUCUCAAGUCUUCUUCAGAAGUGUGUUAAGUAUGCUUGGUCUCCAGAGUGUCAACUGACGUUCGAUACACUCAAAGAGAAGCUUACCUCCACUCCAGUCUUGGUCCCUCCGAAUGAUUCCAAGCCAUACCAGGUCUUUUGUGAUGCUUCUCUCCAGGGUCUUGGUGCAGUCCUGAUGCAAGAUAAGAAGGUGGUUGCUUACACCUCCAGGGAGUUGAAGCCAGCGGAGAAGAACUAUCCUAUGCAUGAUCUUGAGCUAGCAGUUGUGGUACACGCCUUGAUGACUUGGAGACAUCUCUUGCUGGAACAUAAGGUUGAAGUUUUCACGGAUCACAAGAGUCUCAAGUACAUCUUCACUCAGCCUAACUUGAAUCUUCGGCUAACACGUUGGGUAGAAAUGCUCCAGGAUUUUAAUCCGAGUGUUGAGUACACGCCAGGCAAAGCUAAUGUCGUGGCGGAUGCUUUGAGCAGGAAGGCAUAUUGCAACAGUCUGAUUCCACAACCUCUCCAGCCGGUCUUUGUGAGUCUUUCGGCAAGCUCAACCUUCAGCUAGUACCUCAGGGAUUUCUUGCGAACCUUCAGAUCUCUCCUACCUUGGAAGAUCAGGUCAGAGUAGCUCAGCUUCUUGACGCUAUGGUGAAGAAGGUCAUGAUCGGCGUGGGAAAGAGUCUACCCAAGUAUAAGUGCUUCACUGUUGAUGCCAGGGACACGUUGUUUUUCGAGGAUCGCCUUGUCGUCCCGAAAGGUUAUCUCCGGAAGGUGAUCAUGGAAGAAGCUCAUAACUCUCUACUUUCUAUUCAUCCUGGAAGCUCCAAAAUGUACCCUCACUUGAAGUAGACCUUCUGGUGGACUCGUAUGAAUCGUGAGAUUGCUCAGUUCGUAAAUGAGUGUGAUGUAUGUCGAAGGGUGAAAGCAGAAAAUCAACGCCCAACAGGUCUCUUGCAGCCUUUGCCGAUUUCCGAGUGGAAGUUUGAUCACAUUGAGAUGGAUUUCGUCACCGGAUUUCCAAAGUACAAGAAGGGUAAUGAUGCUAUCUUCUUCGUCAUCGACAAGUUGAGUAAAGUGGCUCAUUUUCUUCCAGUCAAGGAGUCCAUUUCUGCAGCUCAGCUGGCAGAGUUGUACACCUCCAGGAUUGUCUCUUUGCACGGCGUGCCUAUGAUGAUCUCUUCAGAUCGCGGAAGUAUCUUCACUUCCAAGUUCUCGGACUCCUUUCAGUCUACUAUGGGCACGAAGAUCCGCUUCAGCACAACGUUCCAUCCUCAGACAAGUGGUCAAGUGGAGAGAGUGAAUCAAGUUCUUGAGGAUAUGCUGAGAGCCUGUGUCAUCUCUUUUGGCAUGAAGUGGGAAGAUGUUUUGCGUUUCGCGGAGUUCUCGUAUAACAAUAGUUAUCAAGCUAGUUCUGGCAAGGCUCCGUUUGAAAUUCUUUAUGGCAGGAAGUGUCGUACCCCGCUCAACUGGUCCGAGACCGGCGAGCAUCAGAUCCUUGGGAAUGAUAUGAUAGAAGAAGCUGAGGAGAUGUGUCGAAUCAUUCGCGACAACCUCAGAGCAGCUCAGUCCCGUCAGAAGAGCUAUUAUGAUAACAAGCACCAUGACAUGUCUUACGAGAUUGAUGACUUCGUCUAUCUCAAGGUGUCGCCUAUGAAGGCCAUGCAGCGCUUUGGCAUCAAAGGAAAGCUUGCGCCUUGUUUUGUUGGUCCGUUCAGAGUGGUUGGCAAGAGAGGUGACCUUGCGUACCAACUUGAGCUCCCAUCAAACUUUGCAAAUGUCCAUAAUGUGUUCCAUGUUUCUCAGCUUCGGAGGUGUUUCAAGAACCCUGAGCGCACUGUUCAUCUUCAAGACAUCGACUUUAUCGUGAGCAUCCAGUUGUGGUUCUCGAGGCGACUGAGCGCAAGACCCGUAACAAGACUGUCAAAUUUCUCAAAGUGCAGUGGUCACACCAUUCCGAUAAAGAGGCGACUUGGGAACGCGAGGAUCACCUCCGUUCCGAAUUUCCCGAUUUCUUUCAGUCUUAGAUCUCGAGGGCGAGAUCUUCUUCGUAGUGUGGGAGAGUUUGUAAUGCCCCAAGUGUGUAAUUGCCAUAUUUGGAACCUAUUGCAAGUGGGUCCACCUUGUCAUGGAUAUGAUGAUAUCAUUUGUGCCAUGAUUUNNNNNNNNNNNNNNNNNNNNNNNNNNNNNNNNNNNNNNNNNNNNNNNNNNNNNNNNNNNNNNNNNNNNNNNNNNNNNNNNNNNNNNNNNNNNNNNNNNNNNNNNNNNNNNUUCAUGUGUGAUGCUCAUGAUAUGUUGGGGUGAGUAGAAGUGAUGUGGUGGUUGUUUACUUCAAGCCCUUCUCUAAUUCAAAGACCCUUUUCUCUCUUUUAUUAUCAAGUUCAAAUUCCACUUGCUCCUAAGCUGAUUUAAAAAUGUCUUUUGUUUAGGACAUAAUGUGGGUAUAUUUGGGGUGCUAAAUUUGGUGUUUUGAAAAGUGUUUUGAAGGUGCAAAUAAAUACAAAACAGAAUCUAUAAUGCUGUUUUGUAUUUAUUUCAUAUGCCCCAAAAAUCAUUCUGUUAUUUUAUUUAAUUAGCUUACUAUUUUUCAGGCCCAGGAACAUUUUUUCUUUUAAUUUAUCUUCUAUGGUUUUCUUUGUGGCCUUUUUCCUUUUCUGUGUGGUUUUAUUUAAUAGGAAUCUGCAUGGAGGGCCUUUUCCUUUAAGUGACGCUCUAGUGGGCUUUCUCCUACCAGGGAGGCCCAUCUCUCCAAGUAGCGCAGCGGUAGCCCAGUCCCGCAUUCGUCUCCUACCUGUCGACGUCAGCCAUGGUAGGAAUCUCGCUCCACCUCCCGAUCGCCUUCCCCCAAUACAGCGGCUCAAGAGCGUUCCCCGAGGUAAAUAAAGCCCCAGGUCUUCCUCCUCCUCCGUAGGGUUCCCUCUCCCCCUCGAGUGCGCCGCCACCUUCCCCAUCUCUCUUCCUCCCCGCAGGUAAGCUUCUGUAGGCUAGAAGCAGAGAGAGAGAGGGAGGAGCUCACCGCGUCUACCCCGCCUACGUCGCCGUCCGGCGAGUCCGCCAUGUCCAGGAGCUCGGGGUUUGGCCCCGCGUUCCAUUCCCGUCGUUGGUAGGGUCGAGGAGCGACCACACUGAUGGGGCCGAGCUCGUCUUCGCCGCGGCCACGGUGCCUCCUUCCUCUACAUUAGCAGCAGUAGACCUUCGCGUUCUUCUUCCACUUCGUCGCCUCAUUGUCCAUGGGGUCCUCUCCUUCCUUCCCCGAGGUGUGGUGCCUCACCCCCUUCCUUCUUCCUCCCUUGUCCCUCGUUGGGUCCGGCUAGCCGUAGUUGUUGCACCUCCCUGCACGAGUUGUGUUGUGUGUGCGUGGAGGUUUGUGUGAGGUGUGCUCGUGCAGCACAGGUGAUCGUGGCUGGCACCACGCAGCAGUCGAGAGGUAGCAUAGUGGUAGACCUCCGGUGGCGCAGUAGCAGCAGCAACACGACGAGGCAGCCAGCGAUCUCUCUGUCGCCGUGCUCCUCUGUCGAAGCAAGCAGCAGAGAGAUGUUGUGUGUGUAUCUUCUCUGUCAGGUGCGCCAUGCAAGUGUGUAGCAGUAGCAGGGGAUCUCUCCCCUUCGUGUUGCAUCACUGUGGAGGAAGGUAUCUUUCCUGGCGUAGCAACAGCAGCCGUUCUGCUCCGGCCGCCUCUCUGUCGCCGGCACGCAAGGCACAGCAGAGAUAGGUGUCGUGAUGGUAUUCCUAGAAAAAAAAAACCUCCUUCUAAUAGUAGUCGUGUCAUAGCGCGUUGGUGUAUGUCUCUGCUUGUUUCCUUGAGGUGCAGGGUUCGAGUCCCCAAUGUUGCACCCCCCUUUUUGGUUUUCUUUUCCUUGUUCGAAGUAGAUGCAACAACAGAAGUACACCUUGCUAGGUGAGCCCUCUCUGUCAAAGCCAAGACAGUAGAAGAGUGGCAACAGCAGCAGUGCAGUGCAGAGAGGGCUUGGGAUAGAACCCCCCCCCCCAAGCCUCUUUAUUUUUUUUCUUCCCCUGUAUUCUUUUUCUUUGAUGUGGAUUGUUUUGCUGCUAGAAACAGUAGGUUGCAGGUGCAGGUGAUUCAUAUUAUAUUAGACUAGGCUUCAUUUUCCUUUUGUGUGUCCUUGUUUGCUUCAUGUGAAUAUAUAAGUAGUCAUGUGGUGUGAGUGUGUGAUGUAUCACACAUACAUGUGUGAUGAGAUGGUGUAGUUACUUCUCAUGAGAUAUAGUGAAGUGAUGUGAUUUGUGCUUGUGAUCUCAAGAGUGUGGUGCAAUCACCAAGGGUGACAUGCUUGUGUACCUUGAUUAGAUGUGGGGUAAUAUUUGUAGUUGUGUUGGUGUAUGUGGGUUCACUCCACCUACUAAAACAAGGUGCACCAAUACAUGUCCAUAUGUGUGANNNNNNNNNNGCAUGCCUGUGCACCUUGAUUAGAUGUGGGGUAAUAUUUGUGUGUGUGUGUGUGUGUGUUUAGUUGUGUGGGUGUAUGUGGGUUGACUCCACCUACUAAAACAAGGUGCACCAAUACAUGUCCAUAUGUGUGAGUGUGAACCCUUCGUCGUGAGUGUGUGUAUGUUCAUGGGGUAGGUGUUGAGCUAGUGGAAUCACAUGUAGUGAUGCCUAUUCAUCUCUAUGUGAAACUAUGUAGUUUUCUUUCCUAGUUUGAGCUCACUUGUUCCAAGCAAGUGCAUAUGUUUUAUAUAGGGUUUUGGGGUAAAAAGAUCCCAGGAAUCCAUUGGUGAAAUAAUUUUUGCCAUUGGAACAUUUUCUGGAGAUGACAUAUUUACGUUUUCUUCUAUCUUUGGAGCUUGGUUCCAUGAGUUGUGAUGUGCUCUUGUAUAUGUUUCUUGGUUGUGGUAGUAGAGGGUAACCCCCUCUACCACAUGAUGCUUUCAAUUCAUGAUUUGGAACCCAUGUGUGCAAGUCGUGCCCAUCCAAAGUAGGCUUGGGGCUGAAAUUCCAGAUUAGUGAAAACCUGAGAUUUUCACUAAGUCUGAGAAUCUGUUUAUAUUUGCUUCCCCUGUUGAUGAGGUUGUGUUGGUCAUUGUGUUGUGAUCUAGCCAUAGCUUUCAACUAGAAACUUGGACCUAAUAUGUUUGUCUAGCUCCCUGUAAAAUGUCAUGUCUUCUGGAGCCCUGUAGGUAGCGUUUUAGCUGCUGUCAAAAAGCUUCAGAGCAAAGACAGAAAGUUAGAUGCAGGAAUUUUCACUGAGUCCCUGUAAUCUGAUGGUUUUGGGCAAGUUUGCAGCCUUGUAUCUUCCUGUGUUUAAUUCAUUUUUGUGUGAUUCUUGCUUGUUAUGGUAGUAUUCUUGGCUAGCUACAACCACAUAUAUUAUUUGUCAUAAUUGGGUGGUUGUAUGUGCUUUGCAUGUAGCUCACAAAGUGCUAUGAUGUAGUUUAUGGCAGAUUGUGUAGUUUUGUCAUUUUGAUGUUUGUGAGCGCUUAGUUGAUGUUGUGGUGNNNNNNNNNNCCACCCCAUCCACGAUGGUUUUUUAUAUGUCUUGGCAACCUGGGAAUACCAGAUUUGUGCCAUUUGAGUGUGUGGUGUUGAUUUUGAUACGUAGGGCUGCAUAACUUGUUUCGUUGAUUCCCGUUGAUCCGUAGCUCCGAUUGUAAUGGUCUUUAUAUGGUUUUGCCUCGUUUUCACGAGACGCGUCUGAUCAUGUCAUUAUCAUGCAUGUCAGAAAGGUUAGCAUGCAGUUCUGUCCAGGUGCAUGCUCAUUUUCAUCUCAUGCAUCAUGUGCGUGUUGCACCUUGAGGUGCUGUUGUUCAUUGGAUGUUAUUCUUAUGUUGGGUAUCACCCGGAUCGGAGAAUGAAUACGUGGAGUUACGAGAGAACGUCCAGGACAAUCAAGAACCAUUCCAAGCUGAGGAUAUCACACGUAAGAUGAUAUGCCCUUGAUUCCAUCUCUAGACUUGUUAUGCUAGUUUACGUUUCCAUUGUCAUAUGCUUGCUGCCUACCACUGAAUUAAAUUGCCUCCUGAUAUGCCAUGAAACCAAACACUGAUCCCUUCCUAGCAAACUUGAAUGGCUAGGUAGGCUUUGCUCAGCUACUAAUUUUAGUGUUGCUAGAUGCAGGUGUUUUGCCUCAUGUGAUAACAUGAGCUUGAUAUCAUUAUCUAAAUUUUGUUAUUUAAUUAAUGCACCUAUAUACUUGGUAAAUGACGGAAGGCCUAGCCUUUUGCCGGGUGCUUUGUUCCGUUAUUGCCGCCUUAGUUACCGGCUACCGGUGUUUGAUUCCAUAUUGAUCGCUCCUAACAAGUUCGGGGUUGUUAUGGGGACCCCCUCGAUAAAUCCCGUAGCGUUAAGACUUGUCCAGCAGGAGCCAACACUGGUUUUAAUUUGCUAAUCACCUAAUAAUAAUCUGCAUAGGGAAUAGCUAACCCGAGGAAUUUAAUCAACAACCCGGGCUAGUGCUCCUCAUGAGUGUUGGUCCAACCACCUAGCAGUCGGCAAGACCACCCCAAGGAAACUUGAGGUUUGGUCCUUGUCCAAUUUGCACAGACGGUGUUGUCCUGAGGCUGAGAUACGCGGCUCUUAUCGGGGUCGACGACACACCGGGAGGUCCUGCUUGGCUUGUCUUACCUUAGCGAUAUAUCUUGUGUAUAGGAAUCCAAGUGAAGCUUUGGUUUUCCCCAGAGUUGAGGUUUUCCUCUAAGGAACCCGACGACAUCACGAGAUUCGUGAUAAAGGAUUACUUUGUCGCCCGUGUACGUUUGUGAUGGACUAGUUGGAGCACCCCUGCAGGGUUUAAUCUUUCGGAAAGCUGUGCCCGCGGUUAUGUGGCAACCUGUAACAUUUGGUUAACAUCCGGUACUAGAUAACUUAAACAGAAGCUAAUAAAAUUGCCAACUGUGUGCGUAACCAUGACUGUCCCGUCGAAGAUCUCUCUUCGAUCGGGAACACGGUGGGGUUAUGAAUGACGUAGGUAGGUGUUCAGGAUCACUUAGUGAUCAAGUAUUCAUGAUUGCUAGUAUAGUCCACCUUCUUACAUGUUCUACGUAAGUGAGCCACCAAAUCAAGUUUAGGAUGCCGCAACCUUAAACACUUCACCUUAUCCUGCCUAAUAACUUGACUACUUUUGGCACCAAGGUCUUAGAUUGCUGUGUCCUCGUGGCUCACGGAUUCCUCCACAAUACCAACAGGUUCAGGUACCUCAGAGACAGAUGAUCCCGACGGCACGCAGCUGGCGUGGCACUACGAUGAGGAGAGCGACCGCCUGUACGUGAACUAUCCAGAAGAUUGAGGCGUGGUGGUGAUCGUGGGCCUGCAGGCAGGGUAGCAUAGCCUUUUCUCUGUUUUGUAGUCCGUAGCGGAACUACUUUGGUUGUAUGCGUGAUGUACUCUGAUAUAUUUAUGAGAAGGCAAUUGAACCCCUGAUUGUCUAUCUUUUAUUAUUAUGUAUGUGUUGUGUUACCUAUUUGCGAGACGCUUAGAUGCGCUCCUUUCCAAUUUGGGUCCUCGAUCCCCAGAUCGGAAAGGACCGCAUCUUGGUCGUUACAGCGACCCCUUGAGCUUCUCCACCUCGGAUUUCUCCAUGGCUGUUUGAAGAAGAACAGGCUGCGCCAUAGAUCCACGCGAGGCUCCAUCCCCACGAAGCCCUCACACAGUAUCACGAAGGACGCCAGCUGCAGAAUGUCAUUCGGCGCCAGGUGAUGCGGCUACAGGCCGAAGAACCGAAGCCAUUCGGCGAAGAGGGCGCUGGCCGGAAGCCCGAAGCCUCGGUAGAAAUGCUCGAUGAAGACCACGAGCUCUCCCACGGCGGGUGUGGGAGCGGUGUCGGCACCAGGAAGACGCACCAGCACUUGGGAGGCAGGGGCAGUAGUCGGUGGUGGCGGAGCGCCUCGAUGUGCUCCUCGCCGACAUCGCUUCCCAGCCAGGCUCCCUGCGACGAUGCCUUCCGCGCCGAGGGCCUCUUCGACGAAGAACCACCGGCCAUGGCUGCGGGUGACGGAAACCCGAAGGGGUUGGCGACUUCACGGCGACGAAGACGACGGAGACGAGGAAGGGGAAGGAUGCGAGCUCUUUCUCUCUGGGCACAGGGAGGAAGAGAGCGCAGAUGCGGGGCAAGAAGAGGGGCGAAUGGCCUCCUCGGAACCCCCGCAUCCCAUUUAAACCCCCACGAAGCGUCGUGGGGAGGGGAUCCGGUGCGCACCGGACCCCCAUUACCCCGUGUAUUACGGGCGGUAACGCUUCCCUAAGCCCAACUGUCGCGGAGUAAAUCCGCAGAGGAUCUCUCGCGCGGAGGCCGUGUGGGCAUCGUGGCGGGACCCAGGGCCCAGGCCUGGUCCCGUCAUCCGUAAUCACCAUCAUUACGCCAGGCGGGGCCUGGCACGUGGCGUUCGCCGAGCGAAUUGCGACGAGGUCGAGGCGUCGUUUCGAAGCCAGUCGGUUUCAAAGCCGGCGUCCCUCAUCACUAGUGGCGGCAAAAAUAUUAAGGCAAAUCAUUAAGCCAGGCCGCCCACCCGCAGGCGGCAGGCCUCACCAGCUUCGGGGACUACUGUCGGGGGGAUAACCCCGGGGUAGGCUCAUCAAGCCUGCUCCUUCAUUUCCAGCCCAAAGGGCAUGAACAUACACAAAUUCCCAAGGCCCAAGUCUUCCGGCCGGCUAGGCAGCACCUACCGGCUAGUGGACGAGGCGGCCAUCCCUCUAGCCGGCCAGGCAACCCCUGCCAGCUAGAGUCGAGGCUUCUACCUCUUCUGAGUCGGCGUGGUCCCGCCAGCCAGGCUAUAAAUGAGGCGGCCGCACCCAAGCCGGCUAGCCAAGCAGGCUAGCCGGCCAAAGAUCAGAAGUCACAUCAGAUCGUAGGUCAGGAUAAGACCUUACGAUUAAAGGUANNNNNNNNNNGUAGGUACGAG
rnacentral:lncRNA from 1 species